AUGGCUGUGUGGUAAGUAGCUUGUUUACUGCUACCAAGUUGUCGCUUUGUUUUUCAUCGUAAUGGAAGUCAGGUCAUACGUGAAAAAUUGAACAUUUGAAGCACAACCACAGAAAAAGCUCCUCCCAUGGUUUAAGAAGUUUAGA